GGUUCCUCGGCAUCUCCAGCACAAGCCAUGUGCUCCCAGGUGGGAUUGGGAAACACGCUCCAGGUGAAGCGCCGUGUGGGAAGCGCCCGGCUCUGCUCCCCGCGGGGCCCUCCCGGGAGCCCCGGGCUCGGGUGGGCACCCACGGGGGGCACGGGAGAGGGGAGAGGCGCUUGGCGAGCUGUUUUGCACAAAUAUUUUCAAGCGGUAAAGAAGAUUAAAAUGGUUGAGCCCGUCCAGCUUGUCCGGGCGCUGCCGCACGCCCCUUGCCGAGGAUUUUCGCAUCAAUCCCUCCUUGUUUCUGCGCACGGGAUUAAACCGGGAAUUAAUAUUUUAAACUACGCAAGAACCCGGCGGCACAGGACGGGGCUGCGCUCCGCGGGGUCGCAGAUCAGCCGCUGAGAAUGUCACACGCUUCCCUGGGGAUUUUCCCCGCUAAUCUGCCGCUAAUUAGCGGCGGGAGCGCACCCACGGGAUGACGAGGCGCUGCCUCGCACCCACGCCACGGAGCAGCGCUCCUCGCAUCCCUCCUGCCCAGGAAUUCCGACACCUCCCGAGGCGCGGUCCCUGCGAGCAGCCGGCACAAGGGGGCGGUUAAGGACAGCCGGGAGCCCCGGGGCUGCGGGGAUAACGGGGGGCCCGGGGGGAGCCCCCUCCGAGCAUCCCCGACAGUUCGCCUUCCCAGCAGCGGCUGUGCUGGCGGCCGGGGAGAGGAGAAAAACCAUAAAAAUAAUAAAAAUCAAACUCUGCAAAGGUGGCUGCGCCCCCUCCCCGCUCUGAGGGGGUGGCGAGACACCGGCCCGGGUCCUCCCCCCGGGGUCGGGGCCACCCGGAGCCGCUCGGGGGGCUCAGAGCUGCUCAGGGUGAUGGAGCUCGGUGCGGGUGUCACAUCCUCCACCCGCCAGAGCCUUUCCUGAAGUGACCUAUUUACACUCUCAUUGGUUUAAAUUAAUUUAUUUUUUUUUUACCCGAAAAGCUUUGAGAAGCGGCGGAACAAGCGCCAGUGAGAAAGGGAGAAAUGGAUGCGUUUUGUACAUUGAAAAAAAAAAAAAUGAAAUUAAGUCACUUGCUGGUCCCCUUAGCGAUGAAACACAGAGGGGAAGAUUAAUACUGCAGCAUAACCUGUGCCUGCAUCCUCUGUCCUGCACCUCUUCCCUGAUAUUCCAGCUGCACUGAAACCCGUCUGUGCAUCAAAAUGAGAUUUUUCAAAAAACGUGUUCAGCUCUAAGAAUUCCUCCGAAUUCGUUACACUCCACCGCGCCAGGCUGCGCCUUGCUGGUCCCGGCGAAGAACACCUGAAAACAUUCUCGGGGCUGCACAGACGCUGUUCUUCUACAGCUGAACAAAUUAAAGCGGCGAGAUUUUGAUACCAGAAGCAUCUGUGAGAGCAGAAAAUAAACGCAAACCUAAAUUCGUACUGGGUUUGGGGGAAAAAAACCCAAAACUGUUUACAAGGCGCCGGGAUCUCAGCGUUCAAACACCCCAUACACAGGCAGAGGUAUUUUUUUUAGGAUUAAAAGAUGAUGAUCCAAUGGGCUGAGGAUGUAAAACUCCUUUGGGGAAUGCGAUAAACUGCAAAAAGCCAGUGGCAACUCAUUCCUGAUUAACUCCUUUUUAUAAAGGGGCGGAAUGGAAGCGAACAGGGACCCGACGGGACACGAACAUAUUUUAUUCAUUUAAUACAAAGCAGCUCCUUAAAAAAAAAAAAAAAUCUUUAAAAAGGCAGUUCAGAGCAUAACUCACGGGCCGGGGGGGAAGGCAAAAAAAAAACCUGAUGGGGUGUGAGGUGAUGUCGCCGUCAUCCCUCGCUCCCCGGGCUGCGGGACCGGCCCGGCCCCCCGGGACCCCCCGAUGCUGGGGGACCCCCCUGCCCCCCCGGCUCUCCCCGCUGACCUUAAAGGCGGAAUCAAUGAAAUGGUGUAAGCGCAGAGAGCACAAAGAGCUCCUGUGCUCGGCUCUGCAGAUCAUAACCAGAGAUGGGAAAGUAUUUACGGGACUCUCGGAGUGACUGGUCCAUCACUAGCGAAAAAAUAAUAUUUUUAACCGCAGGGAAGCAAGAGUUCAUGUAGAUUUACAAACGAGGAGAAAGUAACUGUAAGAACAUGUGUUAAAAAGGCAGCAGAAAGAAUUCCAUCGAUUUCCAUGAGAGGUGGAUCGCAUCCAGGAAGAAUGAGUCAACUUCAUUCCUUGGGCAGAGCUGGCCGGGCUGAGAGAAUUACACCAGAAAUGCCUCGGCAUCACCUCGUGUCCCCCCUCCGUGCGCUGCUGUCCCACUAAGGACCUCUCCAGUGUGGUUACGGCUCAGAACGAGGUGGGAAUUCUUUUAAAAACGGCUUUUAAUCCCCGGCAAAGGAUGGUUUGGGAAAUGUAUUCUCCCCGCGGUGUCACAUCAGCUGCAGAUAACUGCUGAGCCGAAAAGCCUCUCUCACACACACACAAACACACACACACACCAUCCGUGGCAGGACAGGACAGCUCAGGGCUCAAGGAAGGGGAAAGACAAAAUUUCCCCAUCACAGGGAUCCACUCCUCUGUUCUGGCUCCUAAACCCUCUUUCUCCUCUCCCCACAAUUUUGGUGUUGAGCCGUGCAAGGUUUUGGUUUUAUUUGCAGGGAGGAGGUGAAAACUUCUGCAAAAGUUUCCUCCCCACUCCCUUCUCCCAGGGCAGGGGACUCUGCUCACCCAGAAGGAUGAAUUGAGAGAGAAACCUUUCUCCACUCACAAAUGCACAUUUAUUGUGGGCUCUUUUACAGGUGGAAGAACAAACUACUCGUUCCUUUCAGAGAUUUGGGUUGAAACAGCAAUGGACAAACACUGUCAGAAUUCUGCCCUUUGCAUUCAGACACCCCAAGUUUCACACAGACCCUCCCCCAUUCUUCAUUAACACAAAAAUAGCACUUCAAACAUCGAACAGGGAGCUCAUCAGGCUUUUCCACCUUGCUGGUGGCUUUUUAGCCCAGAAAUUCUCCAAAUGAGGGCUUGUGGCAGCCUCAGAGGGACGCCAGAAUUUUGUUGUGAGGCGCAGCCUGUGAUAAGCUCAUCAAUGAAUAGUUAAAAAGCAAGGUCCAAAAGUGUGGUUAGAAAAUGAAAUGCAAAUAUAUACAAACUGGCCAAUGGUUCCUGUGGAUAUAAAUGCCUGCCUACCUCAUGAGUGCUAUUUUCCAGCCAGCUUUCCAAGCAGAGCAGCCCUUGCACUCCUGUAUCUACAAUUGUGCCAUUUAUAAGCCAGGAGCCCACCUCGCCCAGGCCCUGGUUCCUGCAGUGACUCAUGUUCCACUGGCUUAUUCCUGGGAAGAUCUGUGCUAAAACACAGCAAAGAGCAGAAUUUUGGGGAAGGAAUGGCCCAGUUGGGAAAGCACCAGACACUCUCACUAUUCCUUGUGUCAGAAAACCUGGAAAUGCUGCUUUGCAGCCUGUGGGAGAGAAAGGCUUUUACAACUGGCACUAAAAUAAAAUAUUGCACUGCCACCUGGGUCAAACAAAAGUCUGGGUGAAUGUGGAAACCCAGGGCACUGGGAAUAUUUCUCUGUCUGCUCUGGGGUGCCCUGACCCCCUGGGCAGCACUGACUUUGUCCCUCCUUCAUGGAGAAAGUUUCCUUGACUUCAAGAUAGACUGGAAUCCACAAAAGUGUGAAAUUGGUUAUAGAGUGUGGUGUAAGUGUGUCACUUAGGUGAGGAAUUUAGGGUUUGGGAUUUUUAGUGUGUUGUGGAUGGGAGGGCACAGGGUGUUGUCCUGGGUUUCUUCUUCAUGCUUCUUCUUCCUCCUUCUUCAUGGGUUUGGGUGGCAUCUUGCAAUUGUGUGGAAAAAAUCUACAUUGCAGCUCUUUGGGAUCAGUUAUUGGGUUAAAAGGGGAAAUAAUCUAGGUGUUGGUUCUUAAUUGGAUAGUUUAGCCUUAAAACACCUUGUAACAAGAGAUUGUUGGCCAUUUCUGUGGUGCUUUUCCAGCGUGCUGAGCCUGGUGUGGACAGCGUGCAAAACUUUAUAUAAAAUAAUAAUAAACAAAAACCUGAAGACCGAAAAA